rnacentral:lncRNA from 1 species
UUAAUCUUAUUUAAAAAUCUUAUCUAAAUUCAUUGCAAGAAUAUGUUGUUAUUUGUAUAAAAUUAUACGGACUCGGCUGAAUUUAGUUUUUGUUCUCGGCAAAACUUUUGCAAAACAAAACCAAUGGUUGAAUAGUGUGUAGGAGUAAAUGUCAGUCACAAUAAGCUGACUCUUGAAAUAUAUAAAAUAGGGCGAGCGGGGGGAACACACAGACGGAUAUUUAUAAAAGAAAAAGACUAUAAAUUAGUGUCUGAAUUACUUGAAGUAGCUUUUCUUUUUAAUAUACAAUUUUACAUUUUAAUAUUAAUUUAUAGGUCAGGUAUUUGAGUACAACAGAAGACAAAAUAAAUCAGAGUGCAAAAGGAAAAAAAGAGAAUUAGGAAUAAUAAGAAUUAUUGACAACAUCCUUGCUAGAAAAUGCAUGGUAAUGGAGAUGGGAAAAAAUGCAUUCUACCAUUUGAUAGCCCAGAACUAAUAACUUUAAGAAAGUAAGUUAAUAGCCAUCCUUUAUGCUACAUCGGAUUCGAAUUUCACAGACAUAUGUGCAUAACAUGUUAAAUACUAUCGUUAAUGCUAGUGUAUUUAGAUUUGACUUUGUAUUUUUUUUCAACUAGUUUUAUUUAUUUACUUAGAACAUUUUUUUGACAAAGUUUCCUGUAACCAUUUCUACACUCAAUUGUCCUACUUAACCUACCUAGCUUGGUAAUGUCUAACCAUUAUGGUAAAGCAUGCAAUAUGCUUUUUGCCUUGCCGGGCUUGUAUAGGCUAAGGAAAAUAUAAAAAAAGAGGAUUUUUUUCUAACUAUUGUACAAAAAUGUAAUGUGCCAGGACACCAGAAACAAUGUAUUUUUCUUUUUGAUUUUUUAAAAUUUUUUAGAAGGAUUUAAUAUAUUCAAAAUAUACAUACAUUGAGUAUACUCAUUUAUUUAUUACUUUAUUACAGAGUCAGUGAAAUAACUUUUAUGACGAUAUGCUUAAUUGGAUAAAGGAUUUAACAUAAGACGGAGCCAGAAAUUAUUGACAAAACAAAGUGUAGCAGAAAACAAAAGGAAUACUCUUGUGAAUAAAAACCAUGUUGGAAUACAGAACUAAAAAAAUAGCUGUAUAAAAUGAAUUAUCAAUGCCUUCAUACAGAGCUCGGAUAUUUCUACAUAAACUGUAAUGAUAUUAUGCAAACGGGAUAAAUGAAUUAUCUGUUUUCAUUCUAGAUCUGAUUUAGCAACGCAUAGAUACAAAACAGAUUUUUCAAAACUUUGCUGGUUGUCUAGCUAAUAAUAUAAAUAAAUUAUAUUUAAUCAUACCUUUGUAUUUACAUUAUUUAAGAAAAUUGGGUAACAUGGAUAUUUUGAUUGCAUUCAUUAAAAUUUGGGUAAAAUUCAGAAGUAUAAUUCCUGGAGAGAAUUGGUUGUUGGUUACUGAAACGUCCAUUGGCAAAUAUUUCAUGCAUGUUCAGGAAGAUCGAGAGAAAGUGGCAAAAUACAAAAUUUUCGGGUAGUAUGUAAGACACAACAUGGUAUAGUGGAUAUGAAAAACGCAAUAAUUGCAACAUCUAAAAAAGUAAUAGUUUCGCCAUUUUGAACUGAUGUUAGAACCAGGAGUUAUUGCAGUUGUUGC